rnacentral:lncRNA from 1 species
UUCACUUUCCCAUAGGAUGCAGCCAACAUCAGCAUGAAGGAGCUGCUGCCUCACACCGGAGCACUCUGGAUCUGUCUCCCAGAAAUUCAGUGUCUGCCCAGCAACAUCCUGCCCUGAAGGAGAGAAGUUCCCAGCCCCUGCCAAGGAUCAACAUCAAGAACAUGUCCCACAGAGACAAGGCCACACAGCAGCUUCCAUGUGUCAGCAUUCCCACCAAGUCCUUCCAACAGGCAGCCCAAAUUCAGCUCCUCACACACAUAGAGUUACGGUAAGCUAAUAUUCAAACAAAAACAGUGGAAAAAUCACCUUUAUGUACCUCUCCUUGGCACUAUCU